rnacentral:rRNA from 1 species
GGAAUCUUUCACAAUGGGCGAAAGCCUGAUGGAGCAACGCCGCGUGCAGGAUGACGGCCUUCGGGUUGUAAACUGCUUUUAAAAUCGAGAAAUAUGAUGGUAGAUUUUGAAUAAGGACCGGCUAACUACGUGCCAGCAGCCGCGGUCAUACGUAGGGUCCAAGCAUUAUCCGGAUUGACUGGGUGUAAAGAGUUGCGUAGGUGGAUGACUAAGUAGGUAGUGAAAUCUGGUGGUUCAACCAUUCAGACUGUUACCUAAACUGGUCGUCUCGAGAGCGUUAGGGGUAGCUGGAAUUUCUAGUGUAGGAGUGAAAUCCGUAGAUAUUAGAAAGAACACCGAUAGCGUAGGCAGGCUACUGGGACGUUUAUGACACUAAGGCACGAAAGCGUGGGGAGCAGACG